rnacentral:rRNA from 1 species
ACGGCUCAGUAACACGUGGAUAACCUGCCCUUGGGUCCGGCAUAACCCCGGGAAACUGGGGAUAAUUCCGGAUAACGCACAUAUGCUGGAAUGCUUUAUGCGUAAAAUGGAUUCGUCUGCCCAAGGAUGGGUCUGCGGCCUAUCAGGUAGUAGUGGGUGUAAUGUACCUACUAGCCUACAACGGGUACGGGUUGUGAGAGCAAGAGCCCGGAGAUGGAUUCUGAGACAUGAAUCCAGGCCCUACGGGGCGCAGCAGGCGCGAAAACUUUACAAUGCGGGAAACCGUGAUAAGGGGACACCGAGUGCCAGCAUCAUAUGCUGGCUGUCCAGGUGUGUAAAAUACACCUGUUAGCAAGGGCCGGGCAAGACCGGUGCCAGCCGCCGCGGUAACACCGGCGGCCCGAGUGGUGAUCGUGAUUAUUGGGUCUAAAGGGUCCGUAGCCGGUUUGGUCAGUCCUCCGGGAAAUCUGACGGCUCAACCGUUGGGCUUUCGGGGGAUACUGCCAGGCUUGGAACCGGGAGAGGUAAGAGGUACUACAGGGGUAGGAGUGAAAUCUUGUAAUCCCUGUGGGACCACCUGUGGCGAAGGCGUCUUACCAGAACGGGUUCGACGGUGAGGGACGAAAGCUGGGGGCACGAACCGGAUUAGAUACCCGGGUAGUCCCAGCCGUAAACGAUGCUCGCUAGGUGUCAGGCAUGGCGCGACCGUGUCUGGUGCCGCAGGGAAGCCGUGAAGCGAGCCACCUGGGAAGUACGGCCGCAAGGCUGAAACUUAAAGGAAUUGGCGGGGGAGCAC